GCUGUACUUGGCCAACCCCUCAUGGACCACAAAGUCAACAUCUUUUCUUCAGAUGAGGAAACCGUGGCACAAAGAUGGAAAGUGACUUUCCCCCAGCCACACAGCUGGCCUACCUACUUUCUCCCCAUUUUUCUCUAAUCUGCCCACUGCGUAUAAUGGAAAGCAAAUACUGGCACAGUCCUGCUGUCUGCCCAGGUGAAGGAACUCAAUAAUGCUGACAUGAGGAAGUGCAAAUUCAGCUCUGCAGCUAUCAAACCCAAUGACAUUUUGGAGGAAUCUGAAUAAAGGUAA